GUGUCAGCCGCCGCGGUAAUACGUAGGAGGCGAGCGUUGUCCGGAUUUAUUGGGCGUAAAGAGCGCGUAGGCGGCCUAGCAAGUUGGGUGUGAAAUCCCCUGGCUCAACUGGGGGGAGUCAUCCGAUACUGCUAAGCUUGAGGCAGGCAGAGGAAGGUAGAAUUCCCGGUGUAGUGGUGAAAUGCGUAGAUAUCGGGAGGAAUACCAGUGGCGAAGGCGGCCUUCUGGGCCUGUUCUGACGCUGAGGCGCGAAAGCGUGGGGAGCGAACCGGAUUAGAUACCCGGGUAGUCCACGCAGUAAACGAUGGACACUAGGUGUGGGGGGUAUCGACCCCUCCCGUGCCGAAGCUAACGCAUUAAGUGUCCCGCCUGGGGAGUACGGCCGCAAGGCUAAA
rnacentral:rRNA from 1 species